AUGGGUGGCCGCGCUCCUAAGAUGCCCAGCCCUUCCCCUGCCCGGUGGAUCCUCUGCUCCCGGCGCGGAGGGGUCCCGCGCCCGUGGGGGCGGAGGACGGGGACCCGGAAGAUACGGCGUCUCGGGAACAGGAAGGCGUCGGGCCGCGGGGUCCGCACCUCUGCUCCCCACGCGCUCGCCGCUAAGCCGGCCGAGAGCCACUGUCCCGUUUCCGCAGCAUCAGGGCCCCGGCUCCCGGACCGCGUCCAACCCGAGGUAGGCGGCCCCACUGGGGCCGGGAGGGGCGACGCGCGCCAAACGGCGGCGGGAAGGAGGCGGGGCGGAGCGCGCCCCGGGACCCCGACUCGCAAGCGGCCAGCUGGGGGGGCGGAGCGCCGGAUGGCAACCUUGGCCCCAGCCUGGCCCUGUCGCCCCGUGCUCCUCCUGCCAACGGCUGAGCGGCCCGCGCUGCCUUCCCGCCGGCCGGCUGCGGAAGGCGCUAACGCUGGCGGCCACCCCUCCCCGCGGCGCCUCCCCUCCCCGCGCCGAUAUAACCCGCCUCGGCGGCCGGAGCCCGCCCUGCGUCCGCGCCCGCGCCUGCCAGGCCGCACCCGCCUCUCGUCCCGCGCCCUCCCUGCGCCCACGAAGGGGUUACGCGGCGAAGCCCAGGCUAGCGCCAGGCGGCUCAGGCAUCGAUUCCCGGGGCUCCGACGGCACCAGUCGUCUGGAACUGCUGCUGCAGCUGCUAAGUCGCUUCAGUCGUAUCCGACUCUGUGCGACCCCAUAGACGGCAGCCCACCAGGCUCCUACAUCCCUGGGAUUCUCCAGGCAAGAACACUGGAGUGGGCUGCCAUUUCCUUCUCCAAUGCGUGAGAGUGAUGUCGCUCAGUCGUGUCCCACUCUUCGCCACCCCAUGGACUGUAGCCCACCAGGCUCCUCUGUCCAUGGGAUUUUCCAGGCAUGAGUACUGGAGUGGGUUGCCAUUGCCUUCUCCAUGUCGGGAACUAGCAGCAUCCAUUUGUGUGUAGCCAAAAUAAAGAAGCCACCUGAUGCAAAGAACUGACUCAU
rnacentral:lncRNA from 1 species